UACGUAGGGUGCGAGCGUUAAUCGGAAUUACUGGGCGUAAAGCGUGCGCAGGCGGUUUUGUAAGCCCGAUGUGAAAUCCCCGGGCUUAACCUGGGAAUGGCAUUUGGGACUGCAAGGCUGGAGUUUGGCAGAGGAGACUGGAAUUCCCGGUGUAGCAGUGAAAUGCGUAGAUAUCGGGAGGAAUACCGAUGGCGAAGGCAGGUCUCUGGGCUAUAACUGACGCUCAUGCACGAAAGCGUGGGGAGCAAACAGG
rnacentral:rRNA from 1 species